rnacentral:misc_RNA from 1 species
UUUUUUUUUUUUUUUUUUUUUAACGCAAAGAAAAAAUAAUUCAAAUGAAAAAUUACAAAUAAAAAAUAAAAAUUACAGCAAAUCUUUAAUCACACUAAUAAGAAUCUGCGAUGGAGGCUACGAAGAUAUGCAGGCGAGAGGAAAUGUGAGGUCGUGAUCAGUGGGUGUGGGUGCGCUGCUGUCAGGUGAGGGCCUGUGUUGGCGACACGACGAUGCAUGGACUGCCAUGGAGAGCAAGGGACAGUCAGCCGUUGAAUGCGUUGGCGAGAUAGGGCUCACUGGCUCACAUCUGUUAUUGCGUUUUGUGAGGCAUGGUCGCAUGGAGAGUGAGGAAUGGAGACUCAAGGGUUGAAAAAGAAGAGUAAAAUACUAAUGAAACAUAAAUCUAAGCCUAACUCCCAAAGAUGGAAGAAGAAAAUGAUGAAGAAGAGAAUAAUGCAGUUG